UGGGGAAUAUUGGACAAUGGGGGCAACCCUGAUCCAGCAAUGCCGCGUGUGUGAAGAAGGUCUUCGGAUUGUAAAGCACUUUCGACGGGGACGAUGAUGACGGUACCCGUAGAAGAAGCCCCGGCUAACUUCGUGCCAGCAGCCGCGGUAAUACGAAGGGGGCUAGCGUUGCUCGGAAUGACUGGGCGUAAAGGGCGUGUAGGCGGUUUACACAGUCAGAUGUGAAAUCCCCGGCUUAACCUGGGAG
rnacentral:rRNA from 1 species